AUUGCAUAAUGCAGUAGCCACUGGAUUUGCAGCAGAAACACUCUGCUACAGAACAAGUGUCUUGGUUCACAGCAAAGAGGACAAAGAAAACAGCAAGUUUUAGGGGGUUGAAUCCUGGAUUCCCCUGGCAAACACCAUUCUACUUUCCGUCUCUAUGAAUUUGACUACUCGAAGUACCUCAUUAAAAGAAGAGAAAAAACAUCAAUUAGAAAAUAGAAAAGAGCCCUCCCUGGUGAAUUCCUGCUUCUCCUCCAUGUCAUCAUAGGUGUUGAUGGUGCUUGCCUCUGGAUAAUGCUGACUUCCUCUAGAGUGGUCACCAAGGUGAAAUGUUGGUGCCAAAUGAACUUUUCUGGUUCUUCUGAAUGAUGAAGAGAUCCUCCUAGCUUGGCGGAAUACUCUGCUCUGAUGGAAGUACCAUCCUGGUCCAAACAUGAAAGAAUUCCCAACAUCAAGAUUGAUUGAAACAUAUUCAAUGGAUCAUUUGCUCCAGAAGAAGCUGGUUGCCAUGUCUUGAGGACAGUAAACCCUCUGGGGAGGUUCCUGUGGUAAGGAACAAGGGCUCCUGGCAAUAGCCUCUGAGUGAGCCACCUUGAAAAUGGAUUGUCCAGCCCCAGUCAAGCUUUCAGAUGACUGUAGCUCCUGCCAAUGUCUUCACCACAACCUCAUGAGAUCCCAAGCUACAACCACUCAGAACUUCAUCUUUUGGGAAGCACCAGGGAGAGCUGCCUGUGCCUGGCAGAAGCUGCCCAUGCCCCACUGAUACCCCACAGUACUUCCUGUUCUGCUUAGUACUCCUGCUUCUUUCUACAAACAACUGUGAUUCUCUACCUGGGAGCUUCCUCUGGCCACAGGAGCCUGCUCACCUGAUUGGGACACCCUAGCAGUACUGGCUCAUAGAUGGAAGGGACUUGCCUUGUCGCUGAUGAGACUUUCGACUUGGACUUUUGAGUCAAUGCUGGAAUGAGUUAAGACUUUGGGGAACUGUUGGAAGGGUGUGAUUGUGUUUUGAAUUGUGAGGACAUGAGAUUUUGAAGAGGCUAAUGGCAGCGUCCCCACCUAAAUCUCUUCUUGAAUUGUAGUUCCCAUAAUCCCCACGUGUCGUGGGGUGGAGCCGGUGGAGAUAAUUGAAUCAUGGGAACACUUUCCCCCAUGCUGUUAUUGUGAUUGUGAAUUCUCACGAGAUCUGAUGGUUGUAUAAACGCCUUCCCUCUUCGCUGGGCACUCAUUUUUCUCCUUCCUGCCACCAUGUGAAGAAGGAUAUGCUUGCUUCUUGUGCCAUGAUUGUAAGUUUCCUGAGGCCUCCCCAGCCAUGCUGAACUGUGAGUCAAUUGAACCUCUUUCCUUUAUAAAUUACCUAGUCUUGGAUAUGUUUUUAUUAGCAGUGUGAGACAGGACUAAUACACAAAGGAUUUGAAAUCACAAAGGAGCUGUUUUCUGCUCCACCAUGGAAGUCUCACAUGCAUCACAUCUAUUCAUAUCCAUUUGCCACAACUAGACAAAAAGUCCUUUUUAAAAUCUGCCUAGAGAUCAGGAAGUAUUAUCUCUGGAUGCCUAGGCAGGAGAGGUGAAUCAGAUAUUGGUGGGCACUAGUGUGUUCUAUGAUACAUAGCUUAAUAAAAAUAAGUUUCAGAUAAAUCUAAAUAUACAUUAGAAUACUGUAACCACAGUAGAAAAAAAUAUUGGCUCCUUUUUGUGAUAAACUAAUGAUGGUAAAUGCACCCUAUUUAAGCAAGAAAAGAAACUGAUCUGCCAUAAAGAAAACAAUGACAUAUUUAACUACAAAAUAUGUUACAAAAUAUUAAUAUCCCUAAUGGACAAAUGAGUUCCAAUAAAUGGAUAACAAAAAACCAAUAAGUCUGUAGAAAAAUGGAGAAAAUAUAUUUGCAGAAUAUUUAUACAGGUGGUAAUGAAAUUGACAAUGAUGUUUAUCAUCAGCAGUAAACAGUAAAAAGUUUCACCCACCAGGACUAUAGAAAUUUUUCAAAUGGAUAAUUUUCAGAAUCAGCAAAGUUAUAGAAAAGUAGGUACCAGUUGCACAUACCAUUGGAGGAAAUGUAAAAUAUAGUUACCUUGUGGAAAGUAAUCUGAUGUAAUAUAUUAAAAUUUUAUCCAUGUAUGUCCUAUAAUUCAGCAAUUCCAUGUUGGGGAAUCCAUACAAAGAAAUACUUAUACACAUGCAGAAGGAGCUAAGUUUAAGAAAGCACACAUUUCAGCGGGUUGUGGUGUCUCACCCCUGUAAUCCCAGCACAUUGGGAGGCCGAGGUUGGUGGAUCACCUGAGGUCAGGAGUUUGAGACCAGCCUGGCCAACAUGGUGAAACCCUGUCUCUACUAAAAAUACAAAAAAUUAGCUGGUGU
ensembl:lncRNA STXBP5-AS1 STXBP5 antisense RNA 1